rnacentral:rRNA from 1 species
AUUGAACGCUGGCGGCAUGCCUCACACAUGCAAGUCGAACGGCAGCACGGGAGCAAUCCUGGUGGCGAGUGGCGAACGGGUGAGUAAAGUAUCGGAACGUGCCCAGUCGUGGGGGAUAACGUAGCGAAAGUUACGCUAAUACCGCAUACGAUCUAUGAAUGAAAGCGGGGGAUCGCAAGACCUCGCGCGAUUGGAGCGGCCGAUAUCAGAUUAGGUAGUUGGUGGGGUAAAGGCUCACCAAGCCGACGAUCUGUAGCGGGUCUGAGAGGACGACCAGCCACACUGGGACUGAGACACGGCCCAGACUCCUACGGGAGGCAGCAGUGGGGAAUUUUGGACAAUGGGCGUAAGCCUGAUCCAGCCAUGCCGCGUGCAGGAUGAAGGCCUUCGGGUUGUAAACUGCUUUUGUACGGAACGAAAAGGUUUGGCCUAAUAAGCUGAGCUCAUGACGGUACCGUAAGAAUAAGCACCGGCUAACUACGUGCCAGCCGCCGCCGUAA